rnacentral:lncRNA from 1 species
ACGGCCGCAACCAAUAUAAAUAUUAUUUUAUUAUGACACACCUUCGGGCUUGAAAAUCAUUUGUAAGAGUUUUGACCUAAAGCUUAUCAACUACUACCAGUCGUACAUUGUAUAAAAUAAACCCAUCUUAUAUAUGCCAGGUUUAAAUUGCAUUCGUUAUUUAUGAUUAUUUAAUAGAAGUCGGUUUAUUUGUGUAUCUCCACACUGGAUUUCAUGAAUCAAUAGGUAACCAUAAAACUGCUCGAUACGUUUCUGCAUUAUUUCAAACUUAUAUUUGCUACGGACAUGAUGUGUUUGCGUGAUCAUGAGUGGAUCAGUUGAUCAGGUCAAGGUAAUUUUAGUCUGACGUAUGGAGGAAAGUGUGUACAUUUUAUAUUACAAUUAGAUGAUCACGUGGUUAUAUACCUUAAGGCAACGUGGAUGUCGUCUGCAAACAGGUUUCUUUGUUAUAAUACAAGAUAAUUUGAUGUAUCGCCCACACAACACACUUUCGGAUUUGAUGUGAGUUAAUGCGUUGGUAAUUAAACGUGUGGUUUUCUAAUAAAGAUAAGCUUUUUGCAUACGAGAAAAUUAAAACUAAGUUCUGUCUGUUUAUACAGUUCUCAUUUACUUGCACCGUGAUUAACAAGUUUAACAGUGAUCAAGUUACUAUAUAUAUAGUACAUGUAAGUAAUUCAACAGGGUUUUUAGCAUCCAAAAUUUUAUUUUUUUCUUAUUAGUUUGGUUUAAGUCAAUAAUGUUUACUGUAGCGAAGUUUAAAUUUUAAGUAUAUAUAAGCACCAAAUUAAAUUGUUUAAGAAAAUAUCAUAUAUAUAUAUAUAUACCAGGCUUAAAAUGUUUGCGUUUCGUCUACAAACAACUUAUCUGGCGGAUCCAGAAAGAAGUGGUUGGAACCUAGAUUGGGAUCCCCAUUUGGAAAUAGCUGGAU